GUAAUCACGGUUUCCAAAAUUUAAUUAUUUAUUCGGUAACUAUCGGAAAGAUUCGGCAAUGAUCGCAUCAAUGUCGAAGUUGCGACACACAGAUACAAAGAAAAUCGACAUUGGUGGUCGUGAACACCCUGACCUAUUCGGCAGACCGAAAUCAGACAGCGACGCGACGGUUGAAAAAUUAUGAUAGCAUCUUCGUCGUGGUCAUCGUUCUCUUUCUUUUUCACGUCACUACUACGCUACUGCGAUUGGCCGGCAAAUGGUGGACGAACUGUCGCGUUGCUCAUUUCGAUGACGCGUAUAUUGUGAGCGUAAUUGUGUACAUCGACUGAAAACCAUUUGGCACGACAUCUUGGCCAUUGUCCUCUUACUCGUAAUUUUUUUAUCGUUUCGUGCGUUCAUCAUAUAUAUUACUGUAUUAAACGAUUUCCUUGUGAAAUGAUUGUGUACUUUGAUUCGCGCAGUAUCGAUUCGUAGACGGUUGGUUUACAACUGGCAUGCAUGCUGUAUAGCACUCACAGCACCCACGCUGACAGUAAAGCUCUGACUGCAGACGCGUAUGUUGUUAUCCCAGUGUUUAGUGAUAGAUAUCUAGCUACGUACACGGAAGAGGAACGCUAUCAACAUCUCGAUGGUGAAGCUGCGCAAAGUAUCAGUGACAGGGAGAAAUUACCUUGCCGUUUUCGGUUAUUCGACAUUCAAAGGAUACAGAAGAAAACGUCUUGUGCAUGAAAAAGCAUUGAAAAAGAUGCUAACGCCGGGACGAUCGGGACCAAUCAGUCCCGAGGAGAUCGGCAAUGGACCUGAUACAAAAGAUCCUGGUGCAACAGGAAAUGGUUCAGGGACGUAUGCGCGUGGUACGCGCGCCCCAACCACGUAUGAGAGUGAUGAAAGGGCAAAAGAAUUCCUCUCGACCGGAAGAACUGGAAGGAGAAAUGCUUUAACGGAAAUCUUAAGUCACCAUGCAGAAACAGGAAUAUUGGAUUUGCCAGAUCGUUUUGAAGAGCUCACCAUGGAAACAGGUUAGCCAUAUGAGCAGUAAAUUAUCUUGAUUGUUUCAUUGAUCCACGAAUAUGACAAGCAGGAAAAUAAGAAAUACAAGGUCAAACGAAUAACAGCAGUCAAGAUUCAAAUUCGCCAGGUACUUCAAAACAGCAAGGUUGACGCGGUUCUGGAUUCAUUUUUAUAAAUGUAUUGGUCAUAAUGUAAACACACAAUAAGGAAAGUGUCGCUUGAAGUUCUACAGGAAGUUACUGAAAUAUCAUGAAGCUGUUUUUCUCUUGUGUCAAAUCAAACUAGAUCUCAAACUUUACGCACAGUUUAUUUCGUCGUUAUGUUGGUGCAUACUCGGUGGGCUUGCUUGAAAGCCAAUCACAUAAGUAUGCAAAUACAUGAAUAUUGACCAUGUUAUUGAAGUUGAAGCUUAUUGUUUGUAACGAUUACUAGUAUGACGCAAUAUCAAGUUGUUUGAUAUUAUUAAAAGAAUAAUGUCGAAGAUUUAAUAACCUUUACAUUGUUAAUAAUUAUUAGUACUCGAUUAGUAUUUCGAGUUCUAUUAAUACUCAAAAUUCGUACAAUAUGAAAUUAUUUGGUGUCUCGCGAAAUAAAUUUUUCACAUUGAUGUGAAAUCUAUAAUGAUAGUCAUAGUAUGUUUGUACGUAUGCAUAUCCAUGGGUGUCUUGUAAAUUGCGGAUAUGGUUAACAGGGAUAAUUACACGUAUAAUUAUUCUAUACAUAAUUCUUUACACAUUGUGCGUAUGCUGCGUUUAGGAUUU